UGAAGAGUGGUUUUAAAGACAUACGGUUUGAAUCACCCCUGUUCCAUAGAGUCACAGAAAUAAGAGCUGAAAAUGACCUGCUUGGCCAUCUUGCCCUUCCGGAGCCAGUACACGAUGGCUCCCUGUAGAUGAGGCUGCCUUAGUUCCAUGGGGUUAGAUGAGCCAAGUGUUGGGGGACUCCUCAUUCCCUCCUCCAUGAGUCGGUCACCGAACAGUUCUUACUGCUUGGAAACUUUCCCAACCCCAAGCCAAAGUUUUCCUUUGCUCCAUUGCAUUUAAUUAUCCCUCCUUUAUGCUGCUGGGCCUCUGACUCAUUCUUUUGUCUCUAGCAGUUUCCACUCUUCCCAAAGGCCCCUGGUUUUGGGGACUGUCCCCAGUGCCCUGGCUGUUUUGAAUGUUCAUCAGUGCUUCACCUUCUCCAAGCUAGGGAACCUCCAGAAUGAAGCCCUGAGACUGGCACACAACAAGGCUUGGGAAGCAGUGAAGCUGCCGAAGGUGCUUGCUUGCCGAGAAGUUGCCAAACUGUCUCCAGGUUCCAGCCUCCCCGGCGUGGCCUCCAAGCCUUCUGGGAGAGCUUGGACGGUGUUGCUGGCCGAGGGCUGUGAUGUUUAUUAGCAGUGGAGACAAGGACCUGCCCUGCUGAGGAGUUUUAUGACAUACCAAGAACUCUGUCUGUGGCCUUUCCUACUUCUGAGAAAAACAAAUGCCAGGAAACAGGAUUUGAGUGAGUAAAAUAUAAAAUUGGUGUAGAGCACAUCCCGGCUGGUGUAAUGCCCUCUGAGGAUAUCAACCCUAAGAAAAACCAUCACAAUCUUUAUGGUUCAGGUUUUGGUUCUUUUUCACUUCCUUCUUCA
rnacentral:lncRNA from 1 species